rnacentral:rRNA from 1 species
AUUGAACGCUGGCGGCAUGCCUUACACAUGCAAGUCGAACGGCAGCACGGGAGCAAUCCUGGUGGCGAGUGGCGAACGGGUGAGUAAAGUAUCGGAACGUGCCCAGUCGUGGGGGAUAACGUAGCGAAAGUUACGCUAAUACCGCAUACGAUCUAUGGAUGAAAGCGGGGGAUCGCAAGACCUUGCGCGAUUGGAGCGGCCGAUAUCAGAUUAGGUAGUUGGUGGGGUAAAGACUCACCAAGCCGACGAUCUGUAGCUGGUCUGAGAGGACGACCAGCCACACUGGGACUGAGACACGGCCCAGACUCCUACGGGAGGCAGCAGUGGGGAAUUUUGGACAAUGGGCGAAAGCCUGAUCCAGCCAUGCCGCGUGCAGGAUGAAGGCCUUCGGGUUGUAAACUGCUUUUGUACGGAACGAAAAGGUUUGGCCUAAUAAGCUGAGCUCAUGACGGUACCGUAAGAAUAAGCACCGGCUAACUACGUGCCAGCAGCCGCCGCCG